rnacentral:rRNA from 1 species
AUGGUAGCAUUCAGAGAUACACUGGAAGUGUGCGAGUUGGUGGACUUGGGGUUCUCGGGGAUCCCCUUCACAUACGAUAAUAAAUGCAGCGGCAAUAACAAUGUUCAAGUUCGACUGGAUAGGGCAACAGUGACAAAUGCAUGGAGGAAUCUUUUUCCUUUCUGCACUGUUGUGCACGUAGUCUCCCCUUGUUCUGAUCAUAUAGCCCUAGUGCUGAAAGGUGAACCGGAAUCGGAUCGAUCAGGACCAAAAACAAGGAGGUAUGAAGUAUUCUGGGAGCGAGACGUGAACCUCCCAAAGAUCAUCAAGGAGGCUUGGGACUCGGUGGGGGCUGUAGAUAAUCUGGAAAAGCUGCAAAUAGCGCUGCGGAAAACUAUGGCCACCCUUGGAGCAUGGAGAAAUAAGCGGUUUGUUAAUGUUGCUUGGGAGUUGGCUAAAUCUAGAUCGCAGCUUGAAGAACUCAUGCAUAUGAAUGCGGAUCGGCAGGAGAUAAGGAGGAUUACAGACAAAAUGAAUGAACUGAUUUAUCAAGAAGAGAUGCUCUGGAUGCAAAGAUCGAGAAUCUCAUGGCUCAAA